rnacentral:rRNA from 1 species
AUUGAACGCUGGCGGCAGGCCUAACACAUGCAAGUCGAGCGGAUGAGGGGAGCUUGCUCCUGGAUUCAGCGGCGGACGGGUGAGUAAUGCCUAGGAAUCUGCCUGGUAGUGGGGGAUAACGUCCGGAAACGGGCGCUAAUACCGCAUACGUCCUGAGGGAGAAAGUGGGGGAUCUUCGGACCUCACGCUAUCAGAUGAGCCUAGGUCGGAUUAGCUAGUUGGUGGGGUAAAGGCCUACCAAGGCGACGAUCCGUAACUGGUCUGAGAGGAUGAUCAGUCACACUGGAACUGAGACACGGUCCAGACUCCUACGGGAGGCAGCAGUGGGGAAUAUUGGACAAUGGGCGAAAGCCUGAUCCAGCCAUGCCGCAUGUGUGAAGAAGGUCUUCGGAUUGUAAAGCACUUUAAGUUGGGAGGAAGGGCAGUAAGUUAAUACCUUGCUGUUUUGACGUUACCAACAGAAUAAGCACCGGCUAACUUCGUG